UGUCUGAUCUCCCUAACCAGACACUUAUUGCCUCUUUGUCAUUCUUAAUCAGUUGUUACUUGGUAUAUACUUGUUAUUUUCAUGUAUGUCAUGUUAUGUCUAUGUCAUGUAAAUUAUCGCCCUUUAAUCCUGUGACUUGUAUGCCAUUAGAAAAUCACACAGAUUAAUUCAAGUACUAAACGCCAAAUACAGCACAAACAGGAGUUUGCAAAAAUCAGUUUAUGAAGAUCUGAAAUGAACGAAUGUGUUUACUGAGUAAGCUUUGUUAAGUUUGUCUACUAAAUGAACGUUGCAUGACCUGAGAUUUGUGUGGUGCUUGCAAUACUCAGAUUCUAGCUCUCGAUAUAUUUAAUAGCUUUUCUGAAUCUUGCAACCUCUGCUAUUGCAUCCGGUGGUCUUAUGCUCAUCUUGCCUAAAACUUACAACUACUCCAUAGCUGAUUUGCCGUCAUCUUCUUCUUAGCGAGGUUUUGUUCUUCCUUCAUGUUCUUGUGCAUCCAGUCUCACUGCUUAUUCUUCUUUGCCUAUGGCCUCCUAUAUCAGUUUGAUGGGGAGCAAUGCUAUACUGAUGAUCUCCUUUUUCUCUCAAAUAUAUAUAGCAUCCAGUGGAGACGUAGAUCUUGA